AAAGCGCUACUCCGAUAGUCUGAUAAUAACAGAAUCGGUCUGCUAUGUUGCUCGACAUCAUCUUCCCGAUGUCUUCGUUGUAUUUAUGAUCUACGUCCGUUGUUGGUCUUUCUCCUUCAUCGACAGGUAACAUUUCAUCUUAUUAUUCUUGUUUAUGCGUAAUUUAGGGUUUGAAGUCAUUUACCCCCAAAUAAAUGAUAAUGCACAUAAAGUUCAGUUCCACCCUCUAGUGUAUUAUACUAUUCUUCUCUCUGUUUUGUUGUUUUUUGUGGUUCUGUGAAUUUUAAACAAGGUUUAAUAUAUAAUAUAAUAAUAUAUAAACAAAUGAUCAAAAAAAAGUUUGAUUUAAGUGUGUUUUGUCAUUUGUGUUCGUAGUGUCCCGUGUUUACUAGGUUUUUGGGCAAUUUAAAUAUGAUAAAUUAUUAAUUUGAUGAUGAUAAAGUGGAGCUGCUCAACACGCGAGAUUUGAUCAUGCUAUUUUUAUUAGUUAAGAAGCCAAAAGAAUCGCAUUUUGAUUGAAAUCCAAAAACUAUAUCAUAUAUGACCAAUAGAGGAUGCAAAAGUUGUAUGAAGCUGCAUAUAGGACAGGAACACACACUUGGUAGAAAUGAAAUGGUAAUAAUGCUAAACCCCUCCAUAUUGGAAAACAAGCAUGUAUGUUUCACAAAAGUAACUCAGUGAGUGCCUAUAGAGUGUCUGUAUGUAACAAAUAAACUAAGUUGUCCAUAUUGGUAAUGAAAUGUACGUACAUUGCUAUUAUGAGUUUACAUAUUUUGUUAUUAUGGUAAUAAAACAAGAUACGUUGUUUAUACCAGUAAAAAAUAAAGAGCAUUGUCUAUAUCAGUAAGAAAAUAUAAGGUACAAUGUUAUUCCUUGGAAUUUGCCCCUUAAAAUAUCACAUCCUAUUUUUGUUUCUUUCUACUGUAGCAUUGUACUUUCAAGUUUUUCCUAAUUAAUGCAUUGUACUUUGAAAAAUCCAUUACAUUAUAUAUUCAAAAAACUUCAUUAGGACUACGGGUGUAAACGAGCCGAGCCUAGCCCAAGUCUGACCAAGCUCGAGCUCCGCUCAUUUAAUUUUGAGGGACAUCGUGCUCGAUUCGAGCCUUAAAAUGAAGCUCGAGCUCGGCUCGUGAACAAUUUAGUGGGCUCGCGAGCCUAAACAAGCUUAAACGAGUCUGUAUACAUACAUACAUACAUACAUACAUAGAUACAUACAUACAUCCAUACAUACAAACACACACACACACANNNNNNNNNNNNNNNNNNNNNNNNNNNNNNNNNNNNNNNNNNNNNNNNNNNNNNNNNNNNNNNNNNNNNNNNNNNNNNNNNGUUUAGGCUCGCGAGCCCACUAAUUGAAGCUCGACUCGAGCUCGUUUAAUAAAUGAGCCUCAUAUUUAGGCCCGUUUAACUCGAUCUCGAGUAGCUUACGAGUAGCUCGGCUCCCUUACACCCCUAAUUAGGACAUUCUACUUUGAAAAAUAUACCAAGUUGUAGUGGUAAAAAUUGUUUUGUAUUUGUAUUUGGAUGACAUUGUUUUUAUUGGGUAGUUUUCAAAGUGCACUAUUGUAAUGGAAGAAAUGAAAGUAGGAUGUUGUAAAAUAAUGAUAGUUGAUUCGUAUAGUCGCCUCAAAAAAUAUAUAUUUACAUUUAUAUUAUGUUAUAUUGCCUGGUACUCAUUGUAUGUUGUUUCUAUGUUAAUAAAAGAGUAAAUUACACGAAUAGUCCCUAUGGUUUGGGGUAAUUUGCAUGUUUGGUCCCUAACUUAUGUUUUUAACUCGGAAGGUCCCUAUUGUUUGUUUUUGUUACGCACUUGGUCCAUACUAUUUGUUUUUGUUACGCUCUUUGUCCCUGUCUUACUUAAAAAAAAUUAUUAUUUAAAUAGGGAAAAAUGGUGGGGUAGGCAAUGUAAGGUUAGAGGGAUGGGGUUGGGGGAGUGUUUAUUUAAAUAAAUUAAAAAAUCAAGGAGAAAAUAGUCUUUUUAGGUAAGACAGGGACCAAAUGCGUAAAAAAAACAAACAGUAGGGACCUUUCGAGUUAAAAAAAUAAGUUAGGGACUAAACACGUAAAUUACCCUAAACCAUAGGGACCAUUCGUGUAAUUAAUGAUAGUUGAUUCAUAUACAAUAGUAUUUCUCUAUACACAAUAAUUGAUGUUUUAGAAUAUUGUACUUUAUAACUUUAUAAAUCAUAAGUUUUUAUGUAUGGAGAAAAAAAAUAGAAUGAACACUUAAAAAAUAGUUCCUAAGGUCAUCCGUUAUACACACCACUAACCAUUAUAAUGGUGGGUGUCACAUCAUCAUCAGUUCACCACAUUCGCUACCACUAAUCAUGGGAUACCUACCACUAAACACACCACUUCACUUCAUUUUUUUAAUUAAAUUUAAAUAAAAAAUACAUAAAAAAUCAUAUAAUUUUUUUAAAUACUAAUUUCUUUAAUUUAAAAUACCAAAUUACAUUAAUUUAAAUACAAAAAAUUAAAAAACAUUAAAAAUAAAAAUACAACUUCAAACUAUAUUACUUAAUUAACAUAGAAUAAAAAAAACAUUACAUUAACUUAAUAACCUAAUUUAUAUAAAAAAAAAAAUAAAAAAAAAAAAAAAAAAAAAAAAAAAAAAAAAAAAAAAAAUUUAAGUAAAAAAACUAAUCUUAGUUCAUGUUGAGUUCGUACAAAUGAUCUGCGACAUCUUCUCGAAGAUUGAAACACGUUUCGCUGUUAUGAAUUUCAACAACUCGUGAUAUAAAUUCAUUUGUUCCGGAUACGAACUCUUCAAGCGGGAUGACGACGUCGUCCAGAUCGUACGUGCAAAUCGCUCGACCUUGAUCUUCAAUGAUCAUAUUAUGCAUUAUAAUAAAUGUUAGGACCAUUCGUUUAAUUCUAUCCUUAUCCCAAAGUCGUGUAGCGGAUUUCACUAUACGCCACGUCUGCUUGAGGAUUCAAAAUGCCCUCUCGAUAUCCUUUUUCGUUGAUUCUUGUCUCUUUGUGAACAACUUUGCCUUUUCACCUUGAGGAACCAAAUAUGCCUUCAUAAGUGUAGAAUAAUCCGGGUAUAUCCCAUCACAAAGGUAGUAACCGUAUUUGUACGAAUGUUCAUUUAUUGUGAACGUCAUGUCAGGUGCUUUGCCGGUCCAAAGAUCGUUAAAAAGUGUAGAUUGGCCAAGAACGUUAAUGUCGUUGUUAGACCCCGCGAUUCCAAAAAAAGAAUGUCAUAUCUAUAAAUCCUGAGAUGUGAUAGCUUCUAGGAUUAUACUUGGUUCACCUAUAUCUUCUCGAGUGAAUUAACCACAUCAUGCAUUUGGACAUUUUACAAUCUAGACUACCAAACAUACCUAAAAAUUCAUGCCUCUCUUCAUGAGCCGAAUAUAAUCACUCAAUAUUAAAUGGAGUUGGUUUACACAAAUAUUCUUGAUGAAAAACCUCAUAUACACAUGCGCAAAACCAUACACAAUCAAUUGCGUUCCUCUCGGAUACUUAGAAGUAUUUGUCAGAUGUAUUAAAUGUUAUACCGUAUCUCAAAUACCUAAGCGCAACCGCAUACUUUUGUAUACUACUAAAACCUAUUCUUCCACUAGCGUCAGAUUUUUGUUUGAAAAAACCAUAACGAGCUUCUAAAACAUUACUAAUACGUAAAACAUCGCCUUAUUUGACGAAAACGACGUUCGAAUGUGUCUUCAUUAGAAAGACAGUUAUCGGCGAAGUAAUCACGUAUCAAUAAGUCGUGCACGGCUUGACGAUCACGAUUGACAACCGCCCUUGUAUGAACAAUAUUCGAAUUUUCUUCAUCGUGAAUGUGUUGCACAACAUUGAAGAAGGUCGGGAUGAAUUCACCGUCAUCAUCUUAGUCAAAAAAUGUUAACACUUCCAAAUCUUUAUGUGUUUUUUGGUUUAGAAUGAGAGUGAAAUGUUAUGAAAUGUAAGUAGAAGUGUGAGGAUUUUAUUUAUAUAGGUAUCAAGUUUUUGAAAAAAAAAACAAUUUGACCAUUCAAACGGUCAAAAGAAGCAAAUUAAAUACUCAUUGGUCGUUUCAUUUCGUCGUCGGGGACACGAGAUAUCACGACCACGGUCGAUCACGACCGGCCGUGGUGGUGUGCACGGUCAUGGUCGUGGUCCACAUAAACAACAAAGGUGCUCGUGUCGAGUACACCAAUGGUCUAACAAAUACUCUAUUAACCGGUUGAAAGUAAAGGAAAUUGUGACAAUAAAUGAUUAGCUAAUAACUUCACUGGAAAUUUAUUAUUAUAAUAAUUACAAAAUGGUAAACCUGAUUGAUGAAUAAUAGUUAAGCAGCAAGAAUUUUAAGUCAAUAAUGAUGAGCAUUUCAAGAGUUGAGUCAUCAUUUCUUUCUCUUGGUUGAUGCCAAACGGUCCACACAAUGUGUUGAUAGUCUCGAGUCUCGACCCCGAUUAAUAAAAUAUCCUUCAGUCAAAGUCAAACCAUUUAAUUUAUUAUUAGAAAAUUAGUUAAAAUUUUAUAUUUUUUUUGAUAAUCUUCAAACCAUUAGACUACUAGGUGUGGGCAACAUGUUAUUACAUGUUAUCACACUUAAAUUGUCCACCUCAUCAUUCUAGUCACAAUUUGGUAUUAUAACACAAAGAAUGAAAAUGGACAAUAUCAAAUAACAUGAAAUAACACAUACUAUUUUCUAUUUUUUUUUUUAUUUUUUUUUUGAUGUUUUUAAUUUCUAUUAUUCUAAUUUGUUUUAUUUUUUUAUUUACUUCAUAUAUUUCUAAUUCGUUUUAUUUUUUUAAUAUAUGUCAUAUAUUUAUAAAAAAACAUAUAAAUUAAUAAAACAUAAUUUCAUUAACUAGAAAAUUAAAAACAUCAUACAAACUUAAAAAAAACAUUACAAACCAAAAAAAAACAUUGAAAAAAAAACACACGAUAGUCAUAAUAAUUAAAAAAAAACACCGACAAACUAUUCUUCGCCCAAGUAUUUUUUCUCUAUCUGUGCCUUCAUCCUCCGUAUCACUUCAGCUCGUCUCGGUGGUAAAUUUUCUUCGUUUGUUGUAAGAAUUGCCAAAUCCUUCGACAUGCGAUCUUCUUGGGCUUCUUGACGAAGGAAAUCCAAAUGCCCCCGUUGCAAUUCGUAUCUUUUAUUUGCGAUUUCUGUGUGGGCAUCGAAUUUUUUUUCAUUUCCUCGUGCUCUCGAAGCCGAAUUUCAUUCUUCUCCGCAUGUCGUUGAGCGCGUUUCGCUUUGUCGCGUCCCAUAGGUCGUCGUGGCGGAGAGAUUUCCUCGAUGUCGUCAAACUCGUCCGGGAUCUCAUCGGUGUCCGCGUUGAGGUCGAUGUUCGUGUGUUCGUCAGAAACGUCAACCGAACCCGAACCACGAGACCUUUUGGAUUGUUGUUCCGAUGAUGUUGGCGUUUUCAUCCAUUUUGGAUCUUUCCUCACUAACUCCCAUACUUUUUCAUACUCAAAUACGUGCCCCAUUUGCACGUGAUAUUCCUCCCUCGCGGCUCUAAACACAUCGAAAUCAUUGGCACCACUCUGACGUUGCGAAGAAAGUUUGUUAUAUAUGGAAUUGAAUUUGGUGCACUUCCGGCUAAUUUGAGUCCAUUUGCCACUAAGCAUAUCAUUAUUGCGAUAUGUGUCACCCUUGUUCAAAAUUGUGCGGAAUUUGACGAUUACGGCAUCCCAAAAAGCAACUCUCUUCAUAUCGUUCCCCAUAGUUGGUUGUUUUGAAGUACCGCACCAAGCCGUNUCUUUCCCUUUCUUUUUUGGUCUUCCUUUUUUUUUCCUAAUGCUCUCUGACUACCACCAGCUUGCGUCUCGACAACGGGUUCUUGCGUGGGUGUGGGUUGUGUGACUGUUUGGCGCAUGGGACCGAACGUGGUAAAAAGGUUUUGUUGAAUGUUUGCACUUUGUUGCAUAAAUGGCGAGGUAGGGAAUUGUAUUGGGGGUGAGGUGGUAUUGAAAAAAUUACCGGAAUAUGAAAUUUGUGGUGAGUUUUGAGAGUUUAGAAGGUUGAUGUAUCCCUCGUAUCCUGCAAAACCCAAUGGAGUGGAUGUGUUUGUCUUCGGAGGAGGGGUAUUCGGGUUUUGAUCCAUAGAGGGUAAUUUUUUUUGAAUGAAAUAGAUAUGGAUAUAGAUAAAUAGAGAUAGAGAGGUAAAAUGAUAUACAUAUUUGUUGAUAUAUAUAAAGUAAUUUUUUUUUAUUAAUUCUACCGUAUGCAACGGUAUUAUUACCGUUUUUCAACGGCUAAAAAAUAAAAAAGGUUCGAAUUAUACACGUUGUGGCUCGUUAUCGUGGUAACAUCUCAUGGCAUAACGCGUCCCUGGGGCGGUGUUCCGCGCCAUGGCGCCGUUAAGGGCGUAUGCCACGUCAGAUAACGCGGCUACCGCGUUGCCCACACCCGAGCGUCUUACACAACUUUAACAUCAAAAAUAACUAAAUAGGUAUAUUACUUUUUGUGCAACUUAAUUGCAUAGAAUUUCAAAAAUAACAAUAACGUUAUAAAGUGUAUUAUUAGACAAUCAUAAUCAAAAUUAAAAUUUUUCAUAAAUAAUUAAUUUUAAGUAUGUAAAUGUGUUUUAAAUAUUUAAAAAAUAUUAAAUUUUAAAAUACCGUUUGAUACAUAAAAUUUAAAUUUAAGAUAUAUCAUAAUUUAAUAUCAAUUUUAACUAUAAUAUAACAUGUAACAAAUAAGACAUAUAUAAUAGCAGUAUACAAAUAAUAAACUGAAAAUACAUCAAAUUCAAAGUUGAAAGUUGAAACACCCAUGUAUAAAAGUUGAAAGUUCCAACAACAAUGUUGGUGUUAAUGAACACUAUAACAUUAUAUUUGGUAUUUUAAUAUCCACUUUUUAUGUAGCAAUUGUGUUGAACCGGAACACUUUUGCAUCAAAUAUGGUUUUUAAAAUGAAAUUUGUUGUUAGAUUGAGGAUGUUCUAAUGUAUUAUAAAUUAUUAUCUACCUUUUUAUUAUUUGUUUGAAUUAUUUUUAUUUACAACUUAGUAGAAAUAAUAAAACAGCCGCACCAAGUAAUUUUUAUAACGGGUCAUGAAGUCAACACAAACUUGACUGGGUUGCUAACAGUUUUCUAUUUUUUAAAUAAGUUUUCAAAAACUAUAUUAUUCAAAAGUCAUUUCCAUUUUAAAAUAUGCGUACGUUUUUUCCAAAAUUCUGGGGAAAACCAAAAAAAAGGUAAAUCAAUCGUUUUGCAUGCAUUUAAUACGUUAACGGUGUAAAUUAAAAAAACCAAUGAUGCAAGAUUUGAAAAUUAUAAAGACCGGUGAUAUAGCGUUUUGCAAUAUUGUCAUGAAGUUGCUAUUUUUUUUUUUAAAUGAAGUUAUUUUUUUGAAAAUCACGAGUACCAUUAUUGAAAUUCUAUCUAAUUUUAAUUAUAAACGAAAAUUUAAAAAUUAUUCAAUUUCUUUUAUCAAACUGUAUUCUAAUUUAACAUGUGGUCGUAUUACUCAAUUUUUUAUAUACCAUUCUCACCCCUAAUAAUUAUUGUUUUUAUGGUUAGAAGUUAUGUUGUAUUUAAAAAUAAUAAAAUAUAUUUUUUCAAAGAAUGUUUUUGAAGAUUUUUUAGAUAUUGAUGUGAGAAAAAAUUGAAAUAUGAGUUGUUUUUCUGAAGAAAAUAUAAUAGUUUUUUUCUGAAAUCAUCCGUAUAUGUUAUUGGAUAUUGAGUUCGACAUCUUCCGGAUUGUAUAUUUAUCAAAUUGGGUUUUUUACUUUAGUCCAUCUGAAAAUGAUGCAACAUUUAAUAUAUUUACAAGAAUGAUGACAAAAAAUAAAACUUAUAAUAAAAUCAAAUACUAUCUUAUAUUAUAAGUAUUAAUCCUGCGUAACAAAAACAAUAUCCAAAGAAAAAAAACAUUCUAAUAUCUCGUAAUAUAUGUAGAUAACAAAUGUGAUUUGCCAAAUCGAACCGACUAGAAACGAAUCUGCUUAUUCAGCGGAUGAGCUGACGCAUAUUCAACCGGCGGGAUCACCAAUAACAUAAGAAGCGCCAGAAUCCCCACCGGAAAGAACAUCAACAUCAUCGCCGGUGGCGGCAAUGGCGGAAGCAUUGGCGGCACAACCAGAAGCGACGCGGUUACGAUAAUAAGUAAGCCCACCAACUUCAUAUCGAGUCUCUUCUUCUGUAUCUCUCGUUUUUGCGUUCAUAAACUUGGAGUUUUCGCUUCCUGUUAUCAGAGAUAGAGAUCCUGCUUUGAGCUUCUGUUAAUGGAGAAGCGACCAUGGUUAUUUAAACAGUUGCAAAGAUGAGUGAGGAAUCAGAAGAGAAUCAAAAUGUUGAUAACAUCAAAUCCCGAUGCGAUACGUCGUGCAGA
rnacentral:lncRNA from 1 species